UGGUCGGAUUAUUGGGCGUAAGAGCACGUAGGCGGCCUUGCAAGUCAGUUGUGAAAGCCUUCCGCUUAACGGAAGAACGGCAUCUGAUACUACAGGGCUUGAGUACGGGAGGGGAGAGUGGAACUUCUGGUGGAGCGGUGAAAUGCGUAGAUAUCAGAAGGAACGCCGGCGGCGAAAGCGACUCUCUGGUCCGAAACUGACGCUGAGUGUGCGAAAGCUAGGGGAGCAAACGGGAUUAGAUACCCCGGUAGUCCUAGCCGUAAACGAUGGGUACUAAGUAGAGGGGUUUUGAUUAUUUCUCUGCCGGAGCUAACGCAUUAAGUGCCCCGCCUGGGGAGUACGGCCGCAAGGCUAAAACUCAAAAGAAUUGACGGGGGCUCGCACAAGCGGUGGAGCAUGUGGCUUAAUUCGAUGCAACGCGAAGAACCUAACCGGGGCUUGACAUGGUAGAAGUAGAAUCCUGAAAGGGUGACGAUCGGUAUCCAGUCCGAAGCUAUCACAGGUGUUGCAUGGCUGUCGUCAGCUCGUGUCGUGAGACGUUGGGUUAAGUCCCCUAACGAGCGAAACCCUUGUCUUUAGUUGCUAACGGGUAAUGCUGAGCACUUUAGAGAGACUGCCGUCGUUAAGACGGAGGAAGGUGGGGACGACGUCAAGUCAUCAUGGCCCUUAUGUCCCGGGCUGCACACGUGCUACAAUGGUCGGUACAAAGGGAUGCUAAGUCGCGAGAUUGUGCGAAACCUAUAAAGCCGAUCUCAGUUCAGAUUGGAGGCUGAAACUCGCCUCCAUGAAGUUGGAAUCGCUAGUAAUCGCGGAUCAGCUACGCCGCGGUGAAUAUGUUCCCGAGCC
rnacentral:rRNA from 1 species